AGGGAUACUGGAUCUAUAGAGGUAGAUAUGUAUAGUGGUAAACAUACUAUAUACAGGGUCAGUUCCAGUACCAUAUUAUAAUGUACAGGGAUACUGGAUCUAUAGAGGUAGAUAUGUAUAGUGGUAAACAUACUAUAUACAGGGUCAGUUCCAGUAUCAUAUUAUAAUGUACAGGGAUACUGGAUCUAUAGAGGUAGAUAUGUAGAGUGGUAAACAUACUAUAUACAGGGUCAGUACCAUAUUAUAAUGUACAGGGAUACUGGAUCUAUAGAGGUAGAUAUGUAUAGGGGUAAACAUACUAUAUACAGGGUCAGUACCAUAUUAUAAUGUACAGGGAUACUGGAUCUAUAUAGGUAGAUAUGUAUAGUGGUAAACAUA
rnacentral:lncRNA from 1 species